rnacentral:rRNA from 1 species
CCCCGAGGAAAAGAAAUCAACCGAGAUUCCCCCAGUAGCGGCGAGCGAACGGGGAGGAGCCCAGAGCCUGAAUCAGCAUGUGUGUUAGUGGAAGCGUCUGGAAAGGCGCGCGAUACAGGGUGACAGCCCCGUACACAAAAGCGCAUGUGCUGUGAGCUCGAUGAGUAGGGCGGGACACGUGGUAUCCUGUCUGAAUAUGGGGGGACCAUCCUCCAAGGCUAAAUACUCCUGACUGACCGAUAGUGAACCAGUACCGUGAGGGAAAGGCGAAAAGAACCCCGGCGAGGGGAGUGAAAAAGAACCUGAAACCGUGUACGUACAAGCAGUGGGAGCACCCUUUGGGGUGUGACUGCGUACCUUUUGUAUAAUGGGUCAGCGACUUAUAUUCUGUAGCAAGGUUAACCGAAUAGGGGAGCCGGAGGGAAACCGAGUCUUAAUUGGGCGUUAAGUUGCAGGGUAUAGACCCGAAACCCGGUGAUCUAGCCAUGGGCAGGUUGAAGGUUGGGUAACACUAACUGGAGGACCGAACCGACUAAUGUUGAAAAAUUAGCGGAUGACCUGUGGCUGGGGGUGAAAGGCCAAUCAAACCGGGAGAUAGCUGGUUCUCCCCGAAAGCUAUUUAGGUAGCGCCUCGUGAAUUCAUCUCCGGGGGUAGAGCACUGUUUCGGCUAGGGGGCCAUCCCGGCUUACCAACCCGAUGCAAACUGCGAAUACCGGAGAAUGUUAUCACGGGAGACACACGGCGGGUGCUAACGUCCGUCGUGAAGAGGGAAACAACCCAGACCGCCAGCUAAGGUCCCAAAGUCAUGGUUAAGUGGGAAACGAUGUGGGAAGGCCCAGACAGCCAGGAUGUUGGCUUAGAAGCAGCCAUCAUUUAAAGAAAGCGUAAUAGCUCACUGGUCGAGUCGGCCUGCGCGGAAGAUGUAACGGGGCUAAACCAU